rnacentral:lncRNA from 1 species
UCGUCUCCACGGCGCCAAAGAGGCGACCAGCGACUCGGACCGAAUCCCCCAACUUUAGUCCUGCCUUUCCAUCCACCCCACAUCGCAAACCCUGCACGCUACGGCGACCGGCGCCGCGUGAGAUCUCGAACCCCGACAGACGGCGCAUGCGCUCGCCGUGACCGGACCUCGCGCCAUGGCCAUCGCGGAGGCAUCCCCCUUCGCGGACCUACCCUUCCCCGACGACCUGCCGGAGUUCCCGCACGGCCCCGGCGGGGUCGGGGACGACGCCUUCGGGCUGGAUGGCUUCAACCUCGACGAUCUGGACAUAGACUUCGACUUCGACCUCGACCUCGACCUCCUCCCCACCGACGACGUGCAGCUCCCCUCGUCCCCGCCGCCGCUCGCCACGUCAUCGUCCUC